rnacentral:rRNA from 1 species
GUGAGGAAUAUUGGUCAAUGGGCGAGAGCCUGAACCCAGUCAAGUCGCGUGAAGGAAGAAGGAUCUAUGGUUCGUAAACUUCUUUUGCAGGGGAAUAAAGUGCAGGACGUGUCCUGUUUUGUAUGUACCCUGAGAAUAAGGAUCGGCUAACUCCGUGCCAGCAGCCGCGGUAAUACGGAGGAUCCGAGCGUUAUCCGGAUUUAUUGGGUUUAAAGGGUGCGUAGGUGGUUUAAUAAGUCAGCGGUGAAAGUUUGCAGCUUAACUGUAAAAAUGCCGUUGAAACUGUUAGACUUGAGUGUAAAUGAGGUAGGCGGAAUGCGUGGUGUAGCGGUGAAAUGCUUAGAUAUCACGCAGAACUCCGAUUGCGAAGGCAGCUUACCAAGCUACAACUGACACUGAAGCACGAAAGCGUGGGGAUCAAACAGGAUUAGAUACCCUGGUAGUCCACGCAGUAAACGAUGAUUACUAGCUGUUUGCGAUACACAGUAAGCGGCACAGCGAAAGCGUUAAGUAAUCCACCUGGGGAGUACGCCGGCAACGGUGAAACUCAAAGGAAUUGACGG